AUGAUUCAGGCUGUUUACAGUCUGUGGCUAGCGAGAAAUGAAGCGAGAGAGGAGAAGAGAAUGGCGCCACCACAUGAAAUAGCGAAGGAGGUGAAGAGGCACACAGAGGAGUGGAGAAUGGCGCAUGAGAAGAGCAGAUCGGCCCCCGAGCAGGUGGUAACACAGAAAUGGGAGCCACCAGAGGAUGGGUGGAUUAAGCUCAAUGCCGACGGUGCGGUAUCCAGGCAUAACGACAAGGGGGGUGGCGGCGUGGUCCUGAGAGAUCACCAAGGGGCUUACAUAGUGGGGGCGUGCCAGCUCUACCCCCAUAUCAGUGAUCCAGAGGCGGUGGAAGUCUUGGCGUGCAGGAAGGCGAUUCAGAUGGCGUUGGAGAGACAGAUACCGAGAGUGCAUGUGGAGCUUGACAGCAAGUCGGUGGUGCAGAUGAUAAAUCAAACUACUCGGAACCUGUCUGCCGUUGGACCGUGGAUUCAGGAGAUCAAGGAGAUGCUUAACUCGUUUGCGGAAUACAAAGUGUCGUGGGUUUGUCGUACCGGGAAUAAGGCCGCGCAUAAGCUUGCUAGGGUAGGUGUAGGAGAUGAAAUAAGUAGAGUGUGA
rnacentral:rRNA from 1 species